rnacentral:rRNA from 1 species
GCUACGGGAGGCAGCAGUGGGGAAUAUUGCACAAUGGGCGAAAGCCGGAUGCAGCAACGCCGCGGGAAGGAAGAAGGGUUUCGGCACGGAAACUUCUAUCAACAGGGACGAAAGAAAUGACGGUACUCGAAUAAGAAGCCUCGGCUAACUACGCGCCAGCAGCCGCGGUAAUACGUAGGGGGCAAGCGUGAGCCGGAAUUACUGGGUUGAAAGGGGGAGUAGGCGGCAUGGGAAGGCAGAUGUGAAAGCCUUGGCCUUAACCCGAGGAUUGCAUUUGAGACUCUCAAGCUAGAGGACAGGAGAGGCACGCGGAAUUCCUGGUGUAGCGGUGAAAUGCGUAGAUAUUAGGAAGAACCCCAGUGGCGAAGGCGGCUUUCUGGACUGAAACUGACGCUGAGGCACGAAAGCGUGGGGAGCGAACAGGAUUAGAUACCCUAGUAGUC